AUGAAAUGCGAUAAUAUCUAAGAAGCCUGUAGUACACUAAAUGACCAGUAGGGGUCAGUGUGUAGGCGCAAAUGCAGUGAUUCGUUUAUUUGUACAUGAAAUGCGAUAAUGUCUAAGAAGCCUGUAGUACACCAAAAACCGGUAGGGGUCAGUGUGUAGGUUAAAAUGAGGUGGUUUAUUGGUUUGUACAUGAUAAUGCAAAAAACGUCUAAG